GCCUUCCUUCCUUCCAAGUCAAUGGCAUUACGGCAGGGAUGCAGUUGGCCUUAAGAACAAACUCUUGCCUUAAUUGCUGGAGAAAUUAGUCAUUAGGAAAGCAAACAGCCCAGCAGUUCCGAGAGUCAGUAGUACAGAGAACAGAUAAAACUAAUACUUUCCAAACCACCGCAACUUUUCUUUAAUGCUUUUAUGGAUCUAAUCUUUUAAAUUGAUUUUAAAGAAAACACACAGAAGUUCUUAGCCCUAGCCCUGACCUGUUAAGCUUUGCCUACCAGCCAGCACCGAUGACUAAGUUGUAAUCUGCUAAAGCAGCAGUGUGUACAAAGGGACGAGCCUUCAGCUGGAGCAGUGGAAGGCUGCCACCAGCAGCUCCACUGACUAAUGUGCAAACUGGGCAAAGCUUAUUUAUGUACUUGGUUAACCCCUUCUCUUCAGAAACAAGGAAAAACACCCUGCCUUUUGUAGGUUAACUGAUGCUAAUGCUACAUCCCCUCUGCAGUAGCCAGAUCUCUGAGGAUCUCAGUUGGAUGGACUGCAGUCAUCGAAAAGGGUGUCAGCCCCGUCCUCCACCAAUGCGACAUGAGGUCAUUUUACCCAAACCACAGGGUUAUACACUGUUAUAUCAGCCAAAGGUCAAAUUGCUUCAGUAAGGAGAAAAAAAAAAAAAAAAAGGUAAGGAUAAUUUUGCAAGGUUGUACUUGUG